rnacentral:rRNA from 1 species
UCCAGACUCCUACGGGAGGCAGCAGUGGGGGAUAUUGAACAAUGGGGGGAACCCUGAUGCAGCGACGCCGCGUGGGUGAAGGAGCGUUUCGGCGCGUAAAGCCCUAUCGGCAGGGAAGAAGGAGGACGGUACCUGACUAAGAAGCCCCGGCUAACUACGUGCCAGCAGCCGCGGUAAUACGUAGGGGGCAAGCGUUAUCCGGAUUUACUGGGUGUAAAGGGGGCGCAGACGGCAGCGCAAGCCAGGAGUGAAAGCCCGGGGCCCAACCCCGGGACUGCUCUUGGAACUGCGCGGCUGGAGUGCAGGAGGGGCAGGCGGAAUUCCUGGUGUAGCGGUGAAAUGCGUAGAUAUCAGGAGGAACACCGGUGGCGAAGGCGGCCUGCUGGACUGCGACUGACGUUGAGGCCCGAAAGCGUGGGGAGCAAACAGGAUUAGAUACCCUAGUA